UACGAAGGGUGCAAGCGUUAAUCGGAAUUACUGGGCGUAAAGCGCGCGUAGGUGGUUUGUUAAGUUGAAUGUGAAAGCCCCGGGCUCAACCUGGGAACUGCAUCCAAAACUGGCAAGCUAGAGUAUGGCAGAGGGUGGUGGAAUUUCCUGUGUAGCGGUGAAAUGCGUAGAUAUAGGAAGGAACACCAGUGGCGAAGGCGACCACCUGGGCUAAUACUGACACUGAGGUGCGAAAGCGUGGGGAGCAAACAGGAUUAGAUACCCGGGUAGUCC
rnacentral:rRNA from 1 species